rfam:Hordeum vulgare subsp. vulgare, WGS project CAJW01000000 data, contig: morex_contig_1492519
UAAGGGAACGGAACCCCCCACCCCGGAGGAGCCCCGUAGUAGCGACGAAAGCGGCGAGUCUUAAUAGGGCGAUUGUCACUGCUCAUGGACCCGAACCUGGGUGAUCUAUCCAUGACCAGGAUGAAGCUUGGAUGAAACUAAGCAGAGGUCCGAACCGACUGAUGUUGAAGAAUCAGCGGAUGAGUUGUGGUUAGGGGUGAAAUGCCACUCGAACCCAGAGCUAGCUGGUUCU